UACAGAGGUCUCAAGCGUUGUUCGGAUUCAUUGGGCGUAAAGGGCGCGUAGGCGGCGGGGUAAGUCGGGUGUGGAAUCUCAGAGCUCAACUCUGAAACUGCACUCGAUACUGCUCUGCUUGAGGACUGGAGAGGAGACUGGAAUUCACGGUGUAGCAGUGAAAUGCGUAGAUAUCGUGAGGAAGACCAGUGGCGAAGGCGGGUCUCUGGACAGUUCCUGACGCUGAGGCACGAAGGUCAGGGGAGCAAACGGG
rnacentral:rRNA from 1 species